UCAGGAUGAACGCUAGCGGCAGGCUUAACACAUGCAAGUCGAGGGGCAGCAUGAAGGUUAGCAAUAACCUUUGAUGGCGACCGGCGCAAGGGUGCGUAACGCGUGAGCAACUUGCCCGUUUCAGGGGGAUAACCGGUGGAAACGCCGACUAAUACCCCCAUGGCAUCAUUAGGAGGCAUCUCCUUCUGAUUAAAGAAUUUCGGAAACGGAUAGGCUCGCGUGACAUUAGCUAGACGGCGGGGUAACGGCCCACCGUGGCGACGAUGUCUAGGGGUUCUGAGAGGAAGGUCCCCCACACUGGAACUGAGACACGGUCCAGACUCCUACGGGAGGCAGCAGUGAGGAAUAUUGGUCAAUGGUCUGACGACUGAACCAGCCAUGCCGCGUGAAGGUCACGGCCCUAUGGGUCUUAAACUUCUUUUGCAAGGGAGCAAUAAGCCUCACGUGUGGGGCGAUGAGAGUACCUUGCGAAUAAGCAUCGGCUAACUCCGUG
rnacentral:rRNA from 1 species